GCCUUGAAAAGGCACCUGAAAACAAACAAAACGUCAUACCUGGUAAUACUUCAUAUUAUCAUGCAAUGAUUAAAAAGCCAUCAGAAUCAUUACAUUCACGGUAGAGUACAACACAAGCAAAGCACCAAUUCUAAUGUGACUGGUAGAUGCAGCUGCAACAGGUGUUUCUCGUUGAGCCAAAUCACUGGGGUUUCUUGAGUAGCACGAACUUGGGGAAGAUAUCUGAUCACUCUGUGACAGUGUCCUGGAUUCCAAGCUCUGUAUCCAUGCUCUGGCCUGGCGAGUUCUGGAAAAGACUCCCUGCCGCUCCGAUCUUGAGUCUCCCUUUCUUUCCUACCUCCCUCCAGCCCUGCAGCUCUGAGAUCACCUUGUGGAAACACCAAAACACUGCUCACCUGCUUGUCUAUCCUCUAACACCGCGUGCUCAGCUGAAGCACUGCCGCUUAAGAAACACAAAGCGAGAAUGUCAGCACUGAGUCUCCAUUAUACUCCUGCCACACUCAACCUCUGUGGGGCAGACUUGCCACCUCUAACAAGCCAUCAUCCACCACCAAACAUGCCAAUCCAGAUCCCUCCGGCAGAUCCAGUCUGUAUUCUACCUAGUUUUGUACAUUUUACAAAUAAACUUUUAAAC